AUUGAACGCUGGCGGCAUGCCUUACACAUGCAAGUCGAACGGUAACGGGCCUUCGGGUGCCGACGAGUGGCGAACGGGUGAGUAAUACAUCGGAACGUGCCCGAUCGUGGGGGAUAACGAGGCGAAAGCUCUGCUAAUACCGCAUACGAUCUACGGAUGAAAGCAGGGGACCGCAAGGCCUUGCGCGGACGGAGCGGCCGAUGGCAGAUUAGGUAGUUGGUGGGAUAAAAGCUUACCAAGCCGACGAUCUGUAGCUGGUCUGAGAGGAUGAUCAGCCACACUGGGACUGAGACACGGCCCAGACUCCUACGGGAGGCAGCAGUGGGGAAUUUUGGACAAUGGGCGCAAGCCUGAUCCAGCCAUGCCGCGUGCAGGAUGAAGGCCUUCGGGUUGUAAACUGCUUUUGUACGGAACGAAAAGCCUUCUUUUAAUACAGGAGGGUCAUGACGGUACCGUAAGAAUAAGCACCGGCUAACUACGUG
rnacentral:rRNA from 1 species